AUUAUUUUUACGAAACAAGAUGAAACAUCCAAUCCACGGUAAUUUCUCAAUAUUUUCUAUUUCCUAUUCGUAUCAGAACAAGCCAACCACUUGAAUUUCUCAAUAUUUUCUAUUUCCUAUUCAUAUGAGAACAAGAUCAAACCUCUGAAAUUUCUCAAUAUUUUCUAUUUCCUAUUCGUAUCAGAAAAAAAUACCAACCACUUGAGUUUCUCAAUAUUUUCUAUUUCCUAUUCGUAUGCGGUAAUCAGUUAUACCAACUCGACUGUAAUUUCUUUCAAAUUCUAUUUCAAUUUUUUUUGAAAGCAGAAUCAAGAUCCAACCUUUUUGUAAUUUCUUUUAAAUUCUAUUUCAAUUUUUUUGUGUUGUCUUUAAUUUUUAAUUGUUGAUGGUUUAUUUAUAUCAGCUAAAUCUCACAAAGUUGUUCACUCUUUGACAGUCACACGCAAUUGCGAUAAAAGAAAAAAACUAUCUAGCAAAAUGAGACAAACGACUUACAAUUUGCAAAAUUGAUUGAGUUCAAAAGUUCUGCUUAGCAGUCGUCAUCAUAUGACCAAAGGUCGCAUGAGUGCAAAAAUCAAGACUACCAGCACUGUUAUUUCUUUUUAAGUUCUAUUUCUAUUAUUUUUGCAAAAUUAAAUGAACCCAACCAAUCAAAUUUCUUUCAAAUUCUAUUUCAUUUUUUUUUGUGAAAGCGAUUUAAUGACGAAGGCUUUCUUACCGUGAUAUUAUCACUACGGAAUAUUAUUUUUGAGCUUAACAAUGUCUUUUCAUUGCGUGAAAUUAUCACUACGGAAUGUCAUUUUUGAGUUUUACAAAGUCUUUUUAGUACGUGAUAUUAUUACUACGGAAUAUUAUUUUUAAGCAAUGAUUCUAAAUUUUAGAAGUCGUCAUCAUAUGGCCAAAGGUCGCAUGAGUGCCAAAACAAUAUGAAUCACCACUGUAGUUUCUUUUUAAGUUCUAUUUCUAUUAAUUUUGCGUAAAGCACUGAAAUUUCUUUCAAAUUCUAUUUCAAUUUUUUUUAUAGAGAGCUGGUAACAACAAAGCUUCUCGGAUCGUGAUAUUAUCACUACGGAAUAUUUUUUUUACUUCAAAAAUACCAAGGUAUCUGUAAUUUCACAAUAUUACAAUAUGUAUUACAAAUUUAUGACAAUAAUCCUCUAUGGGUCGACAAACACUGAAAUUUCACAAUAUUACAAUAUGCAUUACAAAUUAUCGAUUUGUAAAAGUCUGCACGAUCAUACGAAGGAAAAAGAAACAAAUGUUUGAGGAUUUAUCUUCUUGCUAACAAAAGUGUCUAAUUGAUCCGUGAUAUUAUCACUACGGAAUAUUAUUUUUGCGGUAAUAGUCUCUGUAUUUCUUGAUGUCUAAGAUAACACACUGUAAUUUCUUUCAAAUUCUAUUUCAAUUUUUUUGAAACCCUGUUAAACAAAAUGAUUCUACAAAGAAGAAUGUAAAACUUUUGUAAACUAGUUUAAAAUGAUAAUAAAAGAUAAAUUAAAAUCAAAUA